rnacentral:rRNA from 1 species
CCUACGGGGGGCAGCAGUGAGGAAUAUUGGUCAAUGGACGAGAGUCUGAACCAGCCAAGUAGCGUGAAGGAUGACUGCCCUAUGGGUUGUAAACUUCUUUUAUCUGGGAAUAAAACAGAGUAUGCAUACCCCCUUGUAAGUACCAUAUGAAUAAGGAUCGGCUAACUCCGUGCCAGCAGCCGCGGUAAUACGGAGGAUCCGAGCGUUAUCCGGAUUUAUUGGGUUUAAAGGGAGCGUAGGUGGAUUGUUAAGUCAGUUGUGAAAUUUGGCGGCUCAACCGUAAAAUUGCCGUUGAAACUGGCAGUCUUGAGUACAGUAGAGGUGGGCGGAAUGCGUGGUGUAGCGGUGAAAUGCUUAGAUAUCACGAAGAACUCCGAUUGCGAAGGCAGCUCACUGGACUGCAACUGACACUGAUGCUCGAAAGUGUGGGUAUCAAACAGGAUUAGAUACCCUAGUAGUC